ACAUUAGUAGUUACUUGUCCAGUUGCUUGGCUCACCCGAGAUAUAGAAAAAUCCUGAUUUUGAUGAAUCCAUAAUUUCUACCGAGCCUAUAUCCUCAGCGUUCUAACUAAUGUUGAGUAAAGGCCAUAUAAUCUUUCGAACUCCUCUGCUAAGCACUAGAUCAUUGCUUUUUGAAACCAACUAACUCUCCAUUCUAUUCCAGAAGGUACCUAACCGCAAUUAACUUCAAGUACGCUUGUUUAUUUCCAAAUCUAUAUAAUAAAGCCAUUUCUUCGUUCAUCUAUAUAAUAAGGCCAUUUCUUAGUGAAUCUAUAUAAUUAAGGCCAUUUCUUAGUUAUGGUUACUGGGACAUUACUACAGGAAAGGCUUCUAGUUACUCCUUUUCUAUAAGUAUUCUAGUGACUCCUUUUCUAUAAGUAUAUUAUAGAUCUACAAAUUCUUACAUGUUAGUGGAGAAGAAUAACCCAAGAUACAGUAUUUUAAGGAAAGGCGAACACAAAAGCUCUAUUUUAGUAAAUUCCAAAUGAUUUCUCAUAUCCCUUUUACGUUACCACAUCCCCUCAGAGACAAACCAAGUAGAAAAUAGAUAGAGGAAAAGGUUGUUUUAUAGGAGCUAGAACAGGCCCCCAACAAGGUAGGAGGAAGCAACGCCUAAUUCCUAUUCCGGAAUGAUUUGGAAUCUAUUUUCCAUUAUGUACAGUGGUCGGAGUGUUGUUGAGUCAAACUAGAAUCAGCUGAAGGCGUUCUUUCAUUGCAGGAUCUAUCUCCUUCUCUAUUUGCCGAGAGGUCGGAGGGUACGCCUGACUAAAAGCGAUGCAACUGUCUAAUAAAUAGAACAGACCAAGCAGGACAUGAAAGACAACACCGUUUUUUUGCCUUAGGACAUAUUGUACCAGUGUUCAUUAGUUUAUUAGCUGGUCGCUACUAACUCAAUCUUGAAAAACCUCACUACAGCUUUCACAGCAAGAAGCUUGUGUUAUUAACAAAACAUAUAGAUUGGCCGGGAGGAUGCCAUUGAUUAUCCUCCUUCCUAACCGAAUGAUCAAAUGAUGCACAUAUCCUUAACGGGUACUACUAGACAACUCGGAGUUUUGAAGAUAUCCAUUCGAUUCUAUCUGGAACAUAAAGCAUCUGUAGGAACUGCCUACUUUAAAGCGGAUCCGCCUUACAAAAAGUGUAAUUAAUCGUAGGCCUAAGCCUAACAACAUAGAUAUUACCCAAAAGCCAGCGUUGCGCUUCAUCUCUGAUUGAAUCAGCCGAAAGGGCCAGUCCUCUCUUGUUAGGAAAGAUCUUACAUACGGAAGAUGGACAUGGUAAUCAAGCCGUUGUGUUUGUAAACAGUUUCUGGUGGGUAGCCCUUAUGUACAAAGGUUUCAUAGGCUUGGUUCAGAUUUGAUUAUCUCACGCCUAUCCACCUUAUUUCUACCGCAUAGCCUUCCAACCUGAAAUCAUCUUAUCGAUUCAAAAGAAGGCGGACUCCAUUUUCUAGUUAUUCCUAUUCUUUCUCCAAUGAGCUGUUCAAACCAAUCGUGGGGAAAGACACAUAGAUUACAGUAAACCCCGUCUUCGAAAUGCCAUUGAGGAAUAGGACCUACAGAAAUAAAGAGAUCUCAGUAUUGAUUUGGGCAAGGCUUCAUGUAAUUACGAAGUUGAUGUAAGAGAGAAUCAAAACCCCCUAUACUAGUUGGUCAACAACCAACCAAAACUAUCUUCUUUCUUUACUAUACGUAAAGGCUUUCUUUGUAUAAGCUGUCAGGAGGGAAUAUUCGAAUUUCAAUCAUGCCUCAACUGGAGAAAUGCACUUAUUUUAUUCAAUUGGUUAUAUAUACAGAAUAGGCAAGCUGACAAGACACUCAAUAUCUACUGGAGGAGCAGCAAUGAAGGCGAUAAUAAAUACAGAAGUUGCGGUCAAUAAGGUAGGGAUCAUCAAAACACCUUGUCCUGUGCCCUUAAUUAAUGGGCUAAAGGAGUUAAGAAACAUCAAAUGCAGUGCUAGUGUUGUCUUGUGGAAAUUAGCCAGGAAAGUAUAAGUGCCCAAAGUAGUGGUUAUAAGGGAGGAAUUCAUAUUCUAGGUAAGUAGGGAGCUAUGAUUUGAUUAAAGCAACAGAUGAAGCAGUGCGCAAGGAAGCAGGAAGGACAGAAUAUCGAAUUGCUUCGUCAAGGGCAAAAGAACCAUCAAUUCUAAAGUAGCCAAGCAACUACUCCAGUUUUCGCGGGUCUUCAAGGA
rnacentral:lncRNA from 1 species